GUGGUUAUACUUUUAAAACGGCCCGCGUCCGGCGCCCCGCGCCCCCGCUCCCUCUUGUCUGUCUGCGAACCAACCAACGAACGCCAAAGCCAGCGCCGCGGCGUAGCCACCACCCUCUACUAUUAUAGCCAACGUCUCUGCGCGUGCGGUGCCGGAGCGGCGGAACCUCCCCCCAUCCUACCUCACCAUGAUGGCAAUGCCGGACGCGGACCGCAACGCCAUGUCGGCGCCGCUGCUCCCGCGGCCCGCGUGCCUGACGGCGUCCUUCUCCUCCUCCUCCUCCUCCUCCUCCUCCUUCGCCUCCUUCUCCUCCUCCAACUCCUCCGACCCCUCACCCCCGUCCGCCUUCCCGCCGGCGGGGCCGUGCAAGGCGUUGGCGGUGCUGCGGGACCACGCGGGCUCCGUCUCCAGCCUCUCCCUCUGCGGGGAGUUCCUGCUCAGCGCGUCCACGGCCGGCGACGUCGUGGCGUGGCAGCAGCCCGACCUCCGGCGCUUCGCGCGCUUCGGCCACGGCGAGAGCGGCGGCUCCGUCAAGGCGCUGGCGGCCGCGGGCGGCCGCGUCUUCUCCGCGCACCAGGACGGCCGCGUCCGCGUCUGGCGCGUCUCCCGCGGCCGCCGCUCCGAGAACGCCUUCAAGCUCGUCGCCGCGCUGCCCACCGCCAGGGACUACCUGGGCCGGGUGUUCCGCCAGGACAGCUACGUGCAGACCACCGCCACCACGGCGGCGCGCCGCGCCCACCACCGCCGCCUCUGGAUCGAGCACGCCGACAGCAUCUCCUGCCUCGCCGUCGCCGUGCACGACGCCGCGCUCCUCUACUCGGGCUCCUGGGACCGCACGCUCAAGGUCUGGCGCGUCGCCGACCUCAGGUGCCUCGAGUCCAUCCGCGCCCACGACGACGCCGUCAACGCCGUCGCCGCAGACGCCGGCAUCGUCUACUCCGCCUCCGCCGACGGCCGCGUCAAGGCCUGGGAGAAGGGGAAGGCGUCGCAUUUCCUCCAGGGCGUCCUCGUCGCCCGCGACGGCGUCUCGUGGAACGCGCUCGCCGUCGCCGCCGACGACCGCCGGCUCUACGCCGCGGGCUCCGACGGCCACGUCGCCGCCUGGGACCGCCUCGGCGGCAGGACCGCCGCGCGCUGGACCCUCGCGUGCGACGUCAGGGCGCACGACGCCGCCGUGCUGUGCCUCUGCGUCGCCAGGGACCUGCUCUGCACCGGCUCCGCCGACAAGACCAUCGGCCUGUGGCGCCGUCAGAGCGCCGGCGAGCUGGCCAAGGUGGGCGUCGUCAGAGGCCACGAGGGCCCCGUCAAAUGCAUCCAGGCGUCCUGGUGCAGGCUCACCAAUGGCUGCAUGGUCUACAGCGGGAGCCUUGACAAGACCAUCAGAGUUUGGUGGGUGCCCGGUGCCUUGCAGCAUGCCAAUGACAAAGAGCAGCAGCAGCAGCAGCAAAAAGAUGGCUUCAAGGAUCACAAGCACAAGGCUUCUUUGUUCUUGAGAUGAAACUUGUGUCUGCUCCAAAUUUCGAAAUGGAUUGAUUGAGAUUGCUCAGGUCUAGUCUGUAUUUUGGAUUGGUUGAUUUAUAUUACAAGGAUAAAUGGGUAACACACAAAAGUAGCCAUAGAGUGGGUGUGCUUCUGUAAAU
rnacentral:misc_RNA from 1 species